UACAGAGGGUGCGAGCGUUGUUCGGAAUUACUGGGCGUAAAGCGCGCGCAGGCGGCCUUUUAAGUCUACCCGUGAAAUGCCGGAGCUCAACUCCGUGCACGCCGGGGGAUACUGGGAGGCUGGAGACAGGUAGAGGCAAGCGGAAUUCCGGGUGUAGCGGUGGAAUGCGUAGAUAUCUGGAGGAACACCGGUGGCGAAGGCGGCAUCCUGGACCGGCAUUGACGCUGAGGAGCGAAAGCCAGGGGAGCAAACGGG
rnacentral:rRNA from 1 species